CUGAGUAGCUGGGAUUACAGGCACGUGCCACCAUGCCCAGCUAAUUUUUUGUAUUUUUAGUAGAGACGGGGUUUCACCAUGUUGACUAAGAUGGUCUCGAUCUCUUGACCUCGUGAUCCACCCGCCUUGGCCUCCCAAAGUGCUAGGAUUACAGGCUUGAGCCACAGUGCCCAGCCGGCCCCUGUUUUUUAAAACCAAACCCUAAGAUAUUUUUAGAAAUCUGGAAGAUUGUUUGCCAUAAAAAGCUACCAUCACCAAAAAAGCAAGAGAUUUUCUAGCUCUUAAGACAUAAAAGUUGGCUUUAUAUCUGAAUAGUCUAACCCUUAUUUUGGAAAAACUGUUUAAAUAAACCUGUUAGUUUUGCUGAUAUAAAUAAAAUAUAGGUCCAUAGCUUAGAGAAAAGCUUUCAGGUUGUUACUUAACUAAAUGCAAAUAUUGAAAGUGAAUCAGAUACUGCAUAUCAUCACUCUUCCAUCUGCUGUAUACUUUAUAUAUUGUGGUUCAGGGAAACGGCUGUCUCUUAGUUUUAUUAAAGAUGAAAUUUCUACUUUUCUUGAUAAUUUUUCUUGUUUUAGGGUAAUUUAUGAGAGCAUGAUGUGGCAAAAUGAUUUUAUUAUGCUGUUUAAAAAUGGGAAGUGAUUUACCGUACAACUUAAAUGUUUUGACUAUCAUUACAGCAACUCUGUAAGUAAUUAAUUCUGGCACCAUACUUUACAAACAACUUUGUCAAAUUGGAGCUCGUCCAGAGGAGAACAAACAAUCCUGUGAAGGGUCUGGAAACUACAGCUUGUAAGGAAUGAUGGAAAGAGAUGAAGGAAUCAUUGUAACAUAACAAUGGUCAGGAGGUCCCCUGCUCCCAUGCUCAGAAUUGACCUACAGUCCUCAACCCAAUAAUCUCAAGCCCAGAUGAUUACCACUUACAUGGAAGUUUGCACAUCAGAAGAAACAUGUGAAGCGAAUGCCAAGGUACCACAGGGGCGAUCAAUGCACUCACAAACAGAUGGAUUCACCUCUGAGAUGCCAGGAAUCCAGAGGCAACAGGAAGGAGUGCAAAAACGAAGAAGAAGAAUAAAAGAAACCAGCAAGCCCACCUUUCCAUUGCAGAGUUUUAGCCAGAACUGAGAUGGGAUGAAUAAAAUGAGAAAAGCUUGCAUAUUAAACUACACAUUAAAGUUUGUAUAUUUUACAAAGGAUUCUUCCUUAUUCCUUUUCUAUUUAUCCAAACCCCACCUACUCUUGUUUUAUUAUUUGGAAAUGAGAUUGACUAUAACAUGAAAAGCUAUGGAGUCUGCCAUCGUUUUUGGAAAUUUCACCUAAAGCAAGGGAAAAACAAUUCAGCAGAAUAGGUUUAAAGUGAUAGGAAUGAAAAAUAAAGGUGCUUUCUGCUUGCUUUUAACAAGUCCAAUUUGUUUAAUAAAGUGUAGUAUUGUGCUGGUGUUUAUGCACACAUUCUGCAAUUAGUACUUUGGAGCUAAUAACUACAUUUCUCUAAAUAAUUGCAAUGAUGCCUUAUGUUUAUAUUAACAACUUAUAUGUGUCAGACAUUGUGCUAAAUACUUUUACAAGCAUUAUUCCAUUCAAGUUUAGUGAUCAUCUUAAGAAAUUCAUUAAAACUAUUUUACAGUUAAGGAAACAAAGCCUAGGUUAAAUAACUUGAGUAAGAUCACACAGAAAAUGGUGGAGGCAGAACCUGAGCUCAAGUAGCCUGUCUACAAAGCCUAAAUUCUUAUUCAGUGGUUUCCCUUGUAAAACAUUGGACUAGGCAUUAUACAAAAUAAUAAAAUAGUUAAUGUUUUUAAUGUCUAUGUCUAUGCCAAUAUCCAUUUUUAUCAUAUUGUUUUCCAUUUUAAAUACUCAGAAAUGGUCACAUUUUCUACGUUUUUAUCUAGUGGCAGGAAUGGAAUUUUCUGCAGUGAAGUAAAUGAUCUGUAUCUGUGCUGACCAACAUAGCAGUCACUAGACACAUGUGACUGCUGAGCACUUAAAUGCAGCUGGUGCAGUGAAGGAACUAAAUUUUUAUCUGAAUUUUAUUUAAAUUUAUUUAACCUCAAACUUAAAUGAUCAUAUGGGGCUAGUGGCUAUGGCAUUGGAAUAACCAAAGAUAAUACUGCAGGCCUAUCUUGGCCUGUCUGUCUUUUGGCAAAUCCAGGUAUACUAUAUAUCACACACACAUAAUAGAGACUCUAGAUUACCUGAAAAAGAAAGUUCUGGAUUAAGAAGGAGGUAGGUGACUCAUUUCAGCCAAAAAUCCUCCCCCCAAAAAUCUACCUAAUAUCUAGGAUGAUGACAAAGUUUCAAAGAUUCCUUUGGAUAUAGAGAUAUGGAUUUCCAAUAUAUUUUGGGAUGAUCUCACAGAAUCCAAGAUGAUGGACAUUUUUAUGUCACCAAAGUGAUUGUCAUAAAACCCUUUUUUCAAAAUUAAAAAAGGAAUAACUUCCCAGUGGUUAGACUUAGAUUUGAGCUAAAUAUUUACUAUCUGAUCGUCAAGACAUGUACCAACAGCUAGAACAUUCACUUGUUCUAGGCAACAUUUUAAGAAUGACAUUCUGAAAACAAUUUAAAAGACAAUCAAGAUAAAGAAGGUUCUGAAAAGAUGGCCAUAAAAGAAGACAUAGAAUUGUCAGCCAAAAGAGAAGGCACAGAUGUUGUAUAGGUGCUGCUCUCAAGCAAUUGAAUGCUUGUCACAGAGGAGAGAGAGAGUCUUAUUCUAUGCUAUCCAAGGAGAAGGACUAAGAUCAAAAGAGAGGACUUGGGAAAUAGGAAACCCCAAUGUAAGCAAGAGCAGGAAGUUGAGCUAUUCAGCAGAAUUCACUAUUUAAGUAGUGAUGCACUCCAGCCACUAACUAUGUUCAAACAGAUUGCAGAAAAUUUUAAAUUAUAGUUAAAAUGCAAGUCCAGGCUGGGUGUGGUGACACACACCUGUAAUCCUAGCACUUUGGGAGGCCUAGGUGGGUGGAUCACCUGAGGUCAGGAGUUCAACACCAAUGGUGAAACUAUGUCUUCCAAAAAUACAACAAAAAAUUAGGCAGGCUUAGUGGAGUAUGCCUGUAGUCCCAGCUACUCAGGAGGCUGAGGCAGGAGAAUCACUUGAACCCAGGAGGCAGAGGUUGCAGUGAGCUGAGACUACGCCAUUGCACUCCAGCCUGGGCAAGAAGAGUUUCACUCUGUCAUAAAAAAAAUGCAAGCCCAUAUAUUUCUAUGGUACUUAAUGAGAAGUCGUCACAGGGAACCUUAAAAAUGUAAAAGCUUGGUUUAGCCAUUUCUUUAUGUUUUUCUUUAUUUUUUUUAAGGACAGUGUUUUGCAAAUAUUUAUACGUUACUUAUAAAAUGUAAGUUAUAGCCAUAUGUAUGUUAUCUCUUGUCAUUAAAAUUUGGAUAUCUAAAUACGUUUUCUAAGAAGGGCAAAGAGCUUUUGCAUAUAUUUUGUGAUUUAACAGUUCUAAAGACACCGAUGUAUAACUUUGAGAUGAUAAAUAUUUAUUAGACACUAUAUUUGUUGGAAUUAGUUGAAAAUUCUGUGUGUUCUAAUAAAGUUGUAAAUUAUGUUUAUAUAAGAGGCAAAGUUUGCUGAUCAAUCCUGUGGAAAUUGUCC